GACGAACGCUGGCGGCGUGCUUAACACAUGCAAGUCGAGCGGUAAGGCCCUUUCGGGGGUACACGAGCGGCGAACGGGUGAGUAACACGUGGGUGACCUGCCCUCAGCUCUGGGAUAAGCCCGGGAAACUGGGUCUAAUACCGGAUAUGACUCCAUGACGCAUGUUGUGGGGUGGAAAGCCUUGUGCGGCUGAGGAUGGGCCCGCGGCCUAUCAGCUUGUUGGUGGGGUGAUGGCCUACCAAGGCGACGACGGGUAGCCGGCCUGAGAGGGCGACCGGCCACACUGGGACUGAGAUACGGCCCAGACUCCUACGGGAGGCAGCAGUGGGGAAUCCUGCGCAAUGGGCGAAAGCCUGACGCAGCGACGCCGCGUGAGGGAUGACGGCCU
rnacentral:rRNA from 1 species